rnacentral:rRNA from 1 species
AUGCAGUCGAGGGGUAACAGGGAGAAGCUUGCUUCUUUGCUGACGACCGGCGCACGGGUGCGGAACGCGUAUGGAACCUGCCCCUGUCAGGGGAAUAGCCCAGGGAAACUUGGAUUAAUGCCCCAUGGUAUCGUUUUAUCGCAUGAUAUUACGAUUAAAGAUUUAUCGGACAGGGAUGGCCAUGCGUACCAUUAGUUAGAUGGUGAGGUAACGGCUCACCAUGGCAGCGAUGGUUAGGGGCCCUGAGAGGGGGAUCCCCCACACUGGUACUGAGACACGGACCAGACUCCUACGGGAGGCAGCAGUGAGGAAUAUUGGACAAUGGGCGGGAGCCUGAUCCAGCCAUGCCGCGUGCAGGAUGACGGCCCUAUGGGUUGUAAACUGCUUUUAUACGGGAAGAAACGCACCUACGUGUAGGUGUCUGACGGUACCGUAAGAAUAAGGACCGGCUAACUCCGUGCCAGCAGCCGCGGUAAUACGGAGGGUCCGAGCGUUAUCCGGAAUCAUUGGGUUUAAAGGGUCCGUAGGCGGGCCUGUAAGUCAGGGGUGAAAGUUUGUGGCUCAACCAUAAAAUUGCCUUUGAUACUGCAGGUCUUGAGUCAUGGUGGGGUUGCCGGAACAUGUGGUGUAGCGGUGAAAUGCAUAGAUAUCACAUAGAACACCGAUCGCGAAGGCAGGUGACCAACCAUGUACUGACGCUGAUGGACGAAAGCGUGGGUAGCGAACGGGAUUAGAUACCCCGGUAGUCCACGCCGUAAACGAUGGAUACUAGCUGUGGGGACUUCGGUCUCCGUGGCCAAGCGAAAGUGAUAAGUAUCCCACCUGGGGAGUACGUUCGCAAGAAUGAAACUCAAAGGAAUUGACGGGGGCCCGCACAAGCGGUGGAGCAUGUGGUUUAAUUCGAUGAUACGCGAGGAACCUUACCAGGCUUAAAUGCAGCUGCAUGGGGUGGAGACACCCCUUUCUUCGGACUGCCUGCAAGUGCUGCA